rnacentral:rRNA from 1 species
GAUGUUAGCGGCGGACGGGUGAGUAACACGUGGGUAACCUGCCUGUAAGACUGGGAUAACUCCGGGAAACCGGGGCUAAUACCGGAUGGUUGUUUGAACCGCAUGGUUCAGACAUAAAAGGUGGCUUCGGCUACCACUUACAGAUGGACCCGCGGCGCAUUAGCUAGUUGGUGAGGUAACGGCUCACCAAGGCGACGAUGCGUAGCCGACCUGAGAGGGUGAUCGGCCACACUGGGACUGAGACACGGCCCAGACUCCUACGGGAGGCAGCAGUAGGGAAUCUUCCGCAAUGGACGAAAGUCUGACGGAGCAACGCCGCGUGAGUGAUGAAGGUUUUCGGAUCGUAAAGCUCUGUUGUUAGGGAAGAACAAGUGCCGUUCAAAUAGGGCGGCACCUUGACGGUACCUAACCAGAAAGCCACGGCUAACUACGUGCCAGCAGCCGCGGUAAUACGU